GACGAACGCUGGCGGCGUGCUUAACACAUGCAAGUCGAACGGAAAGGCCUCUUUCGGGGGGUACUCGAGUGGCGAACGGGUGAGUAACACGUGAGUAACCUGCCCUUGACUUUGGGAUAACUUCAGGAAACUGGGGCUAAUACCGGAUAGGAGCUCCUGCUGCAUGGUGGGGGUUGGAAAGUUUCGGCGGUUGGGGAUGGACUCGCGGCUUAUCGGCUUGUUGGUGGGGUAGUGGCUUACCAAGGCUUUGACGGGUAGCCGGCCUGAGAGGGUGACCGGCCACAUUGGGACUGAGAUACGGCCCAGACGCCUACGGGAGGCAGCAGUGGGGAAUAUUGCACAAUGGGUGGAAGCCUGAUGCAGCAACGCCGUGUGCGGGAUGACGGCCUUCGGGUUGUAAACCGCUUUCGCUCAUGACGAAGCUUUGUGUGACGGUAGUGGGUAAAGAAGCACCGGCUAACUACGUG
rnacentral:rRNA from 1 species